rnacentral:misc_RNA from 1 species
CCUUUCUACGGAGAAUUCAGGCCACUGUUUGGUGGCCGGUGUCGCCUCCCCCAUGGAUGUUCCGUGGGUGUGGGGCUGCUGGUGUGGAAAAAAUCUUCUUGACUGUGGUACGGAUACGCUUUUGGGCCCCCGAGUCGCCACCCCGUCUUGAUGACGGUGCGAUUCGCUGCCCUCGCGUCGGACGGUUCCUUCCGGGAUCGUGGGACGCGUGGUGCGUGGUGGUUUGAGAACUGGAUAGUGGACGCGAGCAGGAAGACGUGAAGUCUUCUUGCUUUAUAUAUGACAAUUUCAGACCGACUCUUGUAUUUGGAGUCGAUCGAUCGUUUUGUGAUCAUUAUAGUGUGAUGAUUUGUUGUCUGGGAAUAAGCUAGGAUUAUGGAUCUUGCGGCAUGGAUACCCCAUGGGUAUG